rnacentral:lncRNA from 1 species
ACAUUAAAAGAUAAAAAGGCUAAGGAAUUAUUUAUAAGUUGUAGAGUUAUUAGUAUUAGUAGCAGUAGUUUCUUAGUCCAGAACAUAUGCAAUUGCCUGCGACUUUAAAUCAGAAAGCGGCGAUUCUUCGUGGGGGCACCUAAUUUUCCUCUGGCCAAUCAAAUGUCUUUACUUUUACACAUAGCGACGGUAGCAGCCAAUAGGAGCAUCUCAUGUGAGGAAGCCGAAGACAUGGCGCUGCGCAUAGGACGUGCUUGCAGAAGAGAGUCCGUGUUCACCUCAGUGAGCAGUCAGAGACGCUCAGCACCUCAAACAGGCCGACACCUCACAGCCCCCGCUGUCAGGUUAGUGAAAGGCCCCGAUCUAUUUGCAUGAAAUAAAUAAAACCGAUUGCUCAUCAAGCGUGCUGCAGUGGCAAAAGGUUCCUACUCCCAGAUGCAGUCUCCAUCUGUGCCUCGACCACCCCACUCUGUCGCGUUACCUUUUAAAUCAUUUUACUUGGGCAGUACUUUUAUAAUAACACAAUGUUUUUUUUCCUCUCUCUCUUUCAUUGUCUCUCUAACUCUCUCCCUCCUCGUUCUUUUCCUUUCAACUUAAGUUGCGUCCCACUGCGAGGACACUUUAUCUUAACAUUGGAUGCCCCUGAUCACAUUUGUUUGGAACUAUAGGCAAGUGGAUGUGGACUAAUUAAUAAAGUGUUGGAUAAUGAUUGGUGAACAUGGCAAAGGGCAUCUCUCACCGUCGUAGCUGAUGUAAAGGAAGUGGUUUAUUAGCUCUUAGAGAAGAGACUGACCCACUCAACUUCUCUGUCUCUCUCUCUUUGCUCUCUGAAAACGCCCUGUCUGCCCUCUCAAUUGAGGCUUGAACUGAAGGGAUGGUACACGCACCCUACACACACGAGAACCCAGCAGCUCCACUGUGAUUUAGAGUGCCUCAGAUAAUGAAGCCAUAUAAGCCUGUUAUUUGCUGUUUUACAGCUUGUUUUAUGAAGGUGAGCUGACAAGCACCGUCCAUAAUGGUUCCUGUCAGUUAAACUGACAGCAUUACCAAGAGAAAAGAGCCCAAAGAAAAUCAGCGCUCCAGAGAAUAGCCGGCCUCUUUAUGUGGGCUGCUGUCCUUUGAUGGCCAUCAGGCUGCAGGCUAUCAUUUUACAUUUUACGCUGACUGCUAUUGUCAGGAGACCAUUAUUGCCGCUGAACUCUGGUUAAAUUCACACCUUGCCAGUAAUCAAUUACAGCCUUGAUCCAUUAAUCAGCUAAAGUGAAAGGAAAAGAAAGAGCCGUGGGUAAGUUCAGUAGGCUCCUCUUGGUUGCGUGGAGCAGUCCACGCCUCAAUCACCAGGACCUUUUGACUUGGAAUGUGCAAGUUGGGAUGUUGUCUGUCAUCAUCAGCCAGGGAGAAAUGGUAGAUCUUAUUUAGAUUUUUCCACUCUGUGAUUUUUGCUGUAAGCAUACAUGAUGGUAUGAUUAAUUUUCUAGUUACAGAUGCUUGCUAAUGCAAGGUUUACUAUAAGGGUUGUAGUUUUUGAACAAAAUUCUAAUCACAAGUAUUAAACAUCAACAUAUACCUUGUUUUUCAAUUCAAAGAGCUUGUUGCAGUCUAUUAAAUUUCUAGGUGAUAAAACUGGCAGCAAAUCAUCGCAUAGUUUUUCCAGUUUUGGGUCUCUCUUUAUAUUAAGAGAUUCUAUGAUUCUUUGAAUCUUUGAAAUAUGAUUCUUUCCUCAAAUUGACAACAAUUACAUUCAUGUUCUAGUUAAAUUAAAGGGGUAGUUCACCUAAAAAUUAAAAUUCUGUCAUCAUUUACUCAUUCUGCCACAAACCUAUGUGACUUAAAGGAUUUUUUGACAGUUUAUGUCCGUUUGACCAGGACAUUGAUACAUGUUUCAAAAUAUACAGGUUUGGCUUGACAUGAGGGUGAGUAAAUGAUGACAGAAUUUUAUUCUUUAGGUGAACUAUCACUUUGUUUUUCUUAUCAAGUUUCAAAUAAAGUUUCAUUUGCAUAUCUUAAGUUCUAAGGACAGGCACGUGC